rnacentral:rRNA from 1 species
AGUGAACGCUGGCGGUAGGCCUAACACAUGCAAGUCGAACGGCAGCACAGUAAGAGCUUGCUCUUACGGGUGGCGAGUGGCGGACGGGUGAGGAAUACAUCGGAAUCUACUUUUUCGUGGAGGAUAACGUAGGGAAACUUACGCUAAUACCGCAUACGACCUACGGGUGAAAGCAGGGGAUCUUCGGACCUUGCGCGAUUGAAUGAGCCGAUGUCGGAUUAGCUAGUUGGCGGGGUAAAGGCCCACCAAGGCGACGAUCCGUAGCUGGUCUGAGAGGAUGAUCAGCCACACUGGAACUGAGACACGGUCCAGACUCCUACGGGAGGCAGCAGUGGGGAAUAUUGGACAAUGGGCGCAAGCCUGAUCCAGCCAUACCGCGUGGGUGAAGAAGGCCUUCGGGUUGUAAAGCCCUUUUGUUGGGAAAGAAAAGUAGCAGGUUAAUACCCCGCUGUUCUGACGGUACCCAAAGAAUAAGCACCGGCUAACUUCGUG